CGCCACAGCGCCCUACCUCCCUUCCACCGGAGGCAGCGACCCCCCCCGCUCGGCGCUCCCGCCAGACAGCACUCGCCUCUGCCGACUAGGGGUGUGUGGUGGAGCGGGAACAGAAAAACAGCUGACCUGCACUAGAAGCUAUGACCUAGCACCAGCCCAGUUCUUAGACAUAAAUGCAAGCUUUGUGGAAUCACAGGCACCAUUGACAGGUCUUACACAGAGAUGGUGGAAUAAAAGAGCCAGAAGGCUAACCAGAGAUGGCAGAGAGAGAUGAUGAAGUCCAUUGUAAACUCAGGAGAGAAAUGCUUCAAGUCCAGCUAAAUAGUUCUGCAUCAGGCCCAGCAAAAUGGUGUGUGGGUUUAACAGCUGAAGAAUGUUUCUCUAUUGCAGGUACGUUCUGUGCUCUGAAGUCAUACUGUGUUCACCACAGUGAGCCAGCAGAAAAAAACAAAUGCUACUGAAUAUGGCCACGGUUAUGUGGGUGGUAAGUGCCUUGUAACAUUGUAGCUUAUGCAGGAAGGGGAAUAUGUUUUAUUAGUGUAGUUUUCAUUGUUGAAGAGCUGUUUUCCAAAUGCACUGUUUUAUCUGCAAGAUAGAUGCAAGUAUACUAUUUGAUUUUAAAAUUAAUGAUUCCUUUUUUAAUAUGCCUCUCGAUGCAAAACUGCUAUUUGGCUUAAGCCAUCAUAUGGGCAUCCAAGGCACAAAAAAGAGAUGAGCUGAUUUACCAGACAUCACAGUCAGGAACUGGCCCCUCAUUUUCUGAAGGUGAGAGCACCAA